UUAGCGUUGACCUUACAGGCGAGUGAAGGAGAAAGAGAUGUUUAUUUCUGCGGCUCUGUGCAUGCAAAUGAACUCUGAGCGCGUGCGUGUGUGCGUGUGUGUGUGUGUGUGUGCGUGUGUGUGUGAGCAGGCCUGUUUGCUUAAUUGCAGGCGUCUUUUCUCACUGUUUUGUCUCAGGGGAGUCCUGCAGCUUUCCUUGGAAACCAUCUACAAAACAACAUCAGCGACAUCAACAACAACAACAACAGGAGCGCCGUCCUGCUGCAGUCUGCGGCGCUCGCACUCGACUGUACAUGAGGCAGCAGACUCUGUGGUGAUGAAUCAUGGGAGUUCAGAGAUGCUCUGUUGUCAGCUGACGGUUUGAUGCCAUUAAGGAUAUAAUCGCUCAAAGACAUUCUUGGUCGACGAAAACGCUGAAAUUUUCAAACCAAAAAUCGACUGAAUCGGGUGAAAAUACACGAAUAUCAACAGAAGACGACAAUGAAACACUAAUAUUAUGAUAACACUUAACUUGAC